rnacentral:rRNA from 1 species
AACGAACGCUGGCGGCAUGCCUAACACAUGCAAGUCGAACGAAGUCUUCGGACUUAGUGGCGCACGGGUGCGUAACGCGUGGGAAUCUGCCCUUGGGUGCGGAAUAACUUCUCGAAAGGGAUGCUAAUACCGCAUAAUGUCGUAAGACCAAAGAUUUAUCGCCCAAGGAUGAGCCCGCGUAAGAUUAGCUAGUUGGUGGGGUAAAAGCCUACCAAGGCGACGAUCUUUAGCUGGUCUGAGAGGAUGAUCAGCCACACUGGGACUGAGACACGGCCCAGACUCCUACGGGAGGCAACAGUGGGGAAUAUUGGACAAUGGGCGAAAGCCUGAUCCAGCAAUGCCGCGUGAGUGAUGAAGGCCCUAGGGUUGUAAAGCUCUUUUACCAGGGAUGAUAAUGACAGUACCUGGAG